AUUAAACCUGUGAACAAGAGUAGUAGGAAUAAUGACGUGUACUUAGAGAGCCGCCGGUUGGUGAAAAGGUGGUUGCAAGGAAUAUUCUGAAUGGACUUGUGAGGGAAGCCUGAAAUCACCUGAAAGUAGGCGUUUACGGAACCCGACCGUUACAAUGGGAUGUAUAUGAUUGUAUACAGUAGGAGUGGACGUUUAUCGUCAAAUUGGGUGGUACCGCAGAAGUUAAGAGCUUUUGUCCCUUUA
rfam:Bacillus azotoformans LMG 9581 contig51, whole genome shotgun sequence.